rnacentral:rRNA from 1 species
GACGAACGCUGGCGGCGUGCUUAACACAUGCAAGUCGAACGGAGAGGCCCUGCUUUUGUGGGGUGCUCGAGUGGCGAACGGGUGAGUAACACGUGAGUAACCUGCCCUUGACUUUGGGAUAACUUCAGGAAGCUGGGGCUAAUACCGGAUAGGAGCUCCUGCUGCAUGGUGGGGGUUGGAAAGUUUCGGCGGUUGGGGAUGGACUCGCGGCUUAUCAGCUUGUUGGUGGGGUAGUGGCUUACCAAGGCUUUGACGGGUAGCCGGCCUGAGAGGGUGACCGGCCACAUUGGGACUGAGAUACGGCCCAGACUCCUACGGGAGGCAGCAGUGGGGAAUAUUGCACAAUGGGCGGAAGCCUGAUGCAGCAACGCCGCGUGCGGGAUGACGGCCUUCGGGUUGUAAACCGCUUUCGCCUGUGACGAAGCGUGAGUGACGGUAAUGGGUAAAGAAGCACCGGCUAACUACGUG